rnacentral:rRNA from 1 species
CGCUGGCGGCAGGCCUAACACAUGCAAGUCGAGCGGAUGAAGAGAGCUUGCUCUCUGAUUCAGCGGCGGACGGGUGAGUAAUGCCUAGGAAUCUGCCUGGUAGUGGGGGACAACGUUUCGAAAGGAACGCUAAUACCGCAUACGUCCUACGGGAGAAAGCAGGGGACCUUCGGGCCUUGCGCUAUCAGAUGAGCCUAGGUCGGAUUAGCUAGUUGGUGAGGUAAUGGCUCACCAAGGCGACGAUCCGUAACUGGUCUGAGGGGAUGAUCAGUCACACUGGAACUGAGACACGGUCCAGACUCCUACGGGAGGCAGCAGUGGGGAAUAUUGGACAAUGGGCGAAAGCCUGAUCCAGCCAUGCCGCGUGUGUGAAGAAGGUCUUCGGAUUGUAAAGCACUUUAAGUUGGGAGGAAGGGUUGUAGAUUAAUACUCUGCAAUUUUGACGUUACCGACAGAAUAAGCACCGGCUAACUCUGUGCCAGCAGCCGCGGUAAUACAGAGGGUGCAAGCGUUAAUCGGAAUUACUGGGCGUAAAGCGCGCGUAGGUGGUUUGUUAAGUUGGAUGUGAAAGCCCCGGGCUCAACCUGGGAACUGCAUUCAAAACUGACAAGCUAGAGUAUGGUA